AUUGAACGCUGGCGGCAUGCCUUACACAUGCAAGUCGAACGGUAACAGGUCUUCGGAUGCUGACGAGUGGCGAACGGGUGAGUAAUGCAUCGGAACGUGCCCAGUUGUGGGGGAUAACUGCUCGAAAGAGCAGCUAAUACCGCAUACGACCUGAGGGUGAAAGCGGGGGAUCGCAAGAUCUCGCGCAAUUGGAGCGGCCGAUGUCAGAUUAGGUAGUUGGUGGGGUAAAGGCCUACCAAGCCGACGAUCUGUAGUUGGUCUGAGAGGACGACCAGCCACACUGGGACUGAGACACGGCCCAGACUCCUACGGGAGGCAGCAGUGGGGAAUUUUGGACAAUGGGCGCAAGCCUGAUCCAGCAAUGCCGCGUGCAGGAAGGAGGCCUUCGGGUUGUAAACUGCUUUUGUCAGGGAAGAAAUCCUCUGGGUUAAUACCCCGGGGGGAUGACGGUACCUGAAGAAUAAGCACCGGCUAACUACGUGCCAGCAGCCGCCGCCGUAA
rnacentral:rRNA from 1 species